CAAUGUUCCAAGGGUCAUUCGUGAGCUUGUAGAUCAUGAUGACAACCACACAAAACACUGUGGUUUUUAACACCUUUGGACCUAUAAUAAAAACUAGAUGGUUGAUCUUCUGACAAGUCUAGGCAAAAGCGACUAGAGGUCUUGACACGUUUGCAGCCUUUUUGUACUUUUAUUCCAAGAAGAAAUUCUUCUUCAAGAUAGAAAUAGAUAGCAAGAGCACAUGAGGGUACAUAUGUCCUAACUCACAAGAUACUGAUCAUUCGGAAUUUAAGAUAAGGAAAAGUGAGUAUAAGCAAUACUUAUUUCUAGAAUACACACAGAUUAAUAUUUCAAAAUCAUAGAAAGCAUAAUAAUAUGUUGAAUACAUGAUCUUAAGAAAAGUAAUAUUUAAAUAAAUCAUGAAGAAUAAUUAAUAAAACAAUUCAAUUCAUGAGUUCUUAUAUAAAUAUGUGAAGUCUUAAGUCGAUUCAUCAUAUAUUAUCACUUGUAACUUUAAAUACAAAGUACCAAACACACACUUAAAGUCACCUGUGAUGAUAUUUAACUCUUGGUUUCUUGUUAAGAAUAUAGCAUAUGAUAACUUAUUAAAAAAGAUAUAUUAUAUCUUAUAUUAAUUAAUUUAUUUAUUUCUCUAUUAAAUAGUCUUAAGCUCAGCCCCCUUCUGAUGGACAGUUUAUAAAGAGCAGGAGACUUCACUCUUCUCACAGUCAUGGACUUUUCUGCACAGGAAUAAAAUCAGGUACUUUUUUACUUUAAUUAUAAUUAAUACCAUUCCAGUUGUUGUUGUUUUUCUAAUCUUAACUUUUUCUUACCUUUAUCCUAUUUAUCUUCCAUCACUAUGAAAUACUGACCAAAGUUUAAUGUUUUAAUUUAAGUAUCCAGAACCAUGGGUGUCAACGUUUCAGUAGUAAAUCAAACUCCUUACACCUGGUACUUUGACACCCAGGACAAAAGAGGGUAUAAACGCAUCGGUCCUCGCUGCAGGACAUCCUAUGAAGAGGCUCUGGCAAUCCAUCGCUACAUCUACAUCAGAUAUAAAAAUCACUCAUGGAAUAGUUUUUCAUAUGAGUUUAACACCCAUAAACGUAAAGGCGACACGUCUUUUAUCCUAAAAGAAACCCUCGACCGUUCCCAGAUUCAGUUGGACUGCACCUCUGAGGGCAGCACUCAUUACUGUCCCAACUACGGUAAGUUCCUGCAAACAUGUCAUUUCUGGACUACUCUGUACAGUCAAAAGUAUAUGACCCCCUACCAUCACAGCACAAUGUGCUUGUUCAGCAUCCCAUUCAAAAUUUAUUUUGCCUUUGCUGUUAUAAAAACAGAGAAAAAUCCAGCAACAUUUAUGGUGAAGAAAAGUUGUAUUAUAGGUCGAAAACUCCCACACGUUUUUCAUCUUUUAAUUUUCAAGAUACAGUAGAAAGACAACCAGAAUGGGUAAUACCGCCGCAGGGCCGCGGCGUUAACUGCAAGUCAGUCGCGUGUUAAAAUCAUUCGUGAAACUACCGCCAGGUGGCGCAAAGGGAUAGAUUGCAAACUGAAUGUAAUUGUAAAAUGUUAGUUUGUAAACAGAGAUGAAGGGCAGAUGUAAAACAACAAUAACAUUAUAAUAUACAUAAUAACAUAUUUAAAAGCCAUAGGCUUUUAAGAAAAUUAAAAAAUAGGAUAGUCUUAGGCUAAAGUCAAGCUAAAUGUUUUCAUUUCGGUUCAUUCUUUGUUUUAAAAAAAAAUUAAAAUCUUCAGGUUCCAUUUGCAGAGCGAAAUGAGAACGGUCCAGCAUUUACAAAUAAUUCUUAUUAACUCUGUUAUUAUUCUUGAUUAUUCAAACUGCUAACACUUUGCAUUUUUGCCUUUACUGUGUGACCAAAACUUGUGAAUUGUGACUUUGAUCGCGCUGGUGCCUCACGCGCACAUAUCUGGAAACAGCAGUCAUUCACCAGCCAUGCGGCACGAGCAGGGGUCCACUUUGGCAUAUUUUUGCUCAUUAUGGUUUUUUUUCCCGUCGAUACUGAAACACGUGUGAAAUCCAAAGCCUAUUUUACCUAAUGAAUAAGAGUUUAGCUUCAAAUGGGCAACAUGUUUGGAUUUGUCCGGAAUGAGAGAGAUAAGUCCAACCUUAUGUAUCGCUUUAUAUUAUUUUUAAUUAUUAUAAUUUUUUUGUUUAUAAGCCUAUAUUAUUAUAUACUGCAAUUAUAUUUAUCCAUUAGAAUUAUAUAUUUGUAAUUCUUGUUCUGUUCUGAUAAAUUUGUUGAAUUUAAAGGAUUUGUUGUAAAGUGAAGGGAACUAAAAAUGUCCUGUUGGUACAUUAGCCUAUAGCAUUAUUAGGCCUGCCGUUAUUAUUUCUGAAUGUAAUAAAAUGCAACUCUCACAAACUUAAUUUAUUUUU
ensembl:lncRNA